rnacentral:rRNA from 1 species
UACGGAGGGAGCUAGCGUUGUUCGGAAUUACUGGGCGUAAAGCGCACGUAGGCGGCGAUUCAAGUCAGAGGUGAAAGCCCGGGGCUCAACCCCGGAACUGCCUUUGAAACUAGAUCGCUAGAAUCCUGGAGAGGCGGGUGGAAUUCCGAGUGUAGAGGUGAAAUUCGUAGAUAUUCGGAAGAACACCAGUGGCGAAGGCGGCCCGCUGGACAGGUAUUGACGCUGAGGUGCGAAAGCGUGGGGAGCAAACAGG